GGGCCCAUAGCUCAGUUGGUCAGAGCAGCGGUCUCAUAAACCGCGGGUCGUAGGUUCAAGUCCUACUGGGCCCACUA
rnacentral:tRNA from 1 species